GAGUCUUACCGGCCUCACGGUUCAUUAUUACUUUUGGUACGCGCUAUGCCACUCUCAACUCGUACCGUGAGUAAUAGUGCACUGUGACUGGUGAACACAACUA
ensembl:miRNA dre-mir-126b dre-mir-126b